GUGACGAGUUUGAUCCUGGCUCAGAUUGAACGCUGGCGGCAGGCUUAACACAUGCAAGUCGAGCGGAGACUUCGGUCUUAGCGGCGAACGGGUGAGUAAUACCUAGGAAUCUGCCUAUUAGUGGGGGAUAACGUGUGGAAACGCACGCUAAUACCGCAUACGUCCUACGGGAGAAAGCAGGGGAUCUUCGGACCUUGCGCUAAUAGAUGAGCCUAGGCCGGAUUAGCUAGUUGGUGAGGUAAAGGCCUACCAAGGCGACGAUCUGUAGCUGGUCUGAGAGGAUGGCCAGCCACACUGGAACUGAGACAUGGUCCAGACUCCUACGGGAGGCAGCAGUGGGGAAUAUUGGACAAUGGGGGCAACCCUGAUCCAGCCAUGCCGCGUGUGUGAAGAAGGCCUUCGGGUUGUAAAGCACUUUAAGCGAGGAGGAAGGUUUUUAGGUUAAUACCCUAAAGAAUUGACGUUACUCGCAGAAUAAGCACCGGCUAACUCUGUG
rnacentral:rRNA from 1 species